CCCUUAGAUGUUCUGGGCUGCACGCGCGCUACACUGAAGCGUUCAACGAGUAUUCACCUUGCCCGGGAGGGUUGGGUAAUCUUUUGAAAACGCUUCGUGAUGGGGAUAGAUUAUUGCAAUUAUUAAUCUUCAACGAGGAAUUCCUAGUAAGCGCGAGUCAUCAGCUCGUGCUGAUUACGUCCCUGCCCUUUGUACACACCGCCCGUCGCCUCUACCGAUUGAGUGAUCCGGUGAAUAAUUCGGACUGCAGCACUGCUUGGUCUCCAGGCUUUGCAGCGGAAAGUUUAGUGAACCUUAUCACUUAGAGGAAGGAGAAGUCGUAACA
rnacentral:rRNA from 1 species